UACAGAGGUCUCAAGCGUUGUUCGGAAUCACUGGGCGUAAAGGGUGCGUAGGCGGCGGAGUAAGUCGGGUGUGAAAUUUGAAGGCUCAACCUUCAACUAGCACCUGAUACUACUUUGCUCGAGGCCUGAAGAGGAGCUUGGAAUUCUCGGUGUAGCAGUGAAAUGCGUAGAUUUCGAGAAGAACGCUCACAGCGAAAGCGAAGCUCUGGUCAGGUUCUGACGCUGAGGCACGAAGGCUAGGGGAGCAAACAGG
rnacentral:rRNA from 1 species